AUCAUUUAACUUACAUUAGAUAUGUUGGUGAAAUGUUCACAAUAAUAUGAUUUUGAUAAAAAUAAAAGUAGUUUUCCGGUGUUAAAAUCUAGUAAGUUAUAAUAUUCGUGAGAGACAAACCAUGAUCUGACUGUUUUGAAUGCCACCAUUGAUACCGGGAAUUUUUUUUUCUUUCUCGUAACAUAAACAGUUUAUCAGAGACUAUUUCAGUAAAAUAUGAAACACAUAUGAUUUCACCAGAUUUUUUAACACUUUUAUCUUUUUAAGGAAAAAAAAACCAUUCCAGGACAUAAGAGAAGCAAGGAAUGUAUAUUAUGCAUAUACUAUAUUAUGAAGUAAAAUCGUCUUUCUAUACAACGAUAACCAUAACAUUAAUGUUCCUAUAAAAAAACAAUGUUCCGAAGAAUUUCUUUCGCAUAUGAAGCCGGUAAAAAGAAGGAUACAGAGACUGUAUUGAAGAGUGCAAGGAAGAAAAUAUGAAUCCGGGGGAUUUGGAAUUUGGAAACCCCGAGAGGGAAGAAAGUCUUAAGUAUCUAGAAGAAUGCAUAAAGGAAAGAUGUUUGCAAAAUUUAAUGGGAAAUAAGUUUAACCUUGAUCCGAACUACUAUCGUAAUAGCCCUGACGCACUACACCGUCAGUCUACAGACUUUGACUUAUUGAAUGAUGAUGGUCAAGAUUUUUGAUUGAAUUUUGCAUUUUGUUUGAUUUCAAAUGAACCAUUUCUACUGUCAUAUUUGUCAUCAUUUAUGCUACUAGUUUCUUUUGAAAAGUCAAAGAAAUUUAUUAGACAGUUGGUUUUCCUGUUUGGAUGGUUUUACACUAGUAGUUUUUGUGCCCUUUUAAACUUGUUGUUCGGUGUGAGUCAAAGCUCCGUGUUGAUGGCAAUAUCCUGACCUAUAAUGGUUUACUUUUGUAAAUUGUUACUUUUUCACUUGGAUGGAUAGUUGUCUCAUUGGCAAUCAUACUUCAUCUUCCUAUAUCUAUCAGUAGAGUAUAUGGAAAAGAAGAUAUCAAAUACAAAUUUAAUUUGGAAUAUUUGUAUAUAUUUAUCUAGC